rnacentral:tRNA from 1 species
GCGAGCGUAGCUCAGCUGGAUAGAGCGCGUGGCUUCGAACCACGAGGUCGGGGGUUCGAGCCCCUCCGCUCGCA